GACGAACGCUGGCGGCGUGCCUAAUACAUGCAAGUAGAACGCUGAAGGAGGAGCUUGCUCUUCUGGAUGAGUUGCGAACGGGUGAGUAACGCGUAGGUAACCUGCCUGGUAGCGGGGGAUAACUAUUGGAAACGAUAGCUAAUACCGCAUAACAGUAGAUGUUGCAUGACAUUUGCUUAAAAGGUGCAAUUGCACCACUACCAGAUGGACCUGCGUUGUAUUAGCUAGUUGGUGGGGUAACGGCUCACCAAGGCGACGAUACAUAGCCGACCUGAGAGGGUGAUCGGCCACACUGGGACUGAGACACGGCCCAGACUCCUACGGGAGGCAGCAGUAGGGAAUCUUCGGCAAUGGACGGAAGUCUGACCGAGCAACGCCGCGUGAGUGAAGAAGGUUUUCGGAUCGUAAAGCUCUGUUGUAAGAGAAGAACGAGUGUGAGAGUGGAAAGUUCACACUGUGACGGUACCUUACCAGAAAGGGACGGCUAACUACGUG
rnacentral:rRNA from 1 species